rnacentral:rRNA from 1 species
GAUGAACGCUAGCGGCAGGCUUAAUGCAUGCAAGUUGAGGGGCAGCAUGAUAUACGCGAGUAUAUUGAUGGCGACCGGCGGACGGGUGAGUAAUAGGUAGGAGACCUACCUCAUACAGGGGGAUAGCAUAGAGAAAUCUGUGGUAAUACCCCAUGAGGUUAUAUGAAUAGAGGCAUAUAAUCAAAGCAUAAGCGAUUAUGCGGUAUGAGAGGGGCCUACUGACCAUUAGCUAGUUGGUGAGGUAAGGGCUCACCAAGGCGAAGAUGGUUAGGGGUUUUGAGAGAGAGACCCCCCACAUUGGAACUGAGAGACGGUCCAGACUCCUACGGGAGGCAGCAGUAGGGAAUAUUGGGCAAUGGGCGAAAGCCUGACCCAGCCAUGCCCGCGUGAAGGAAGACGGCCUUAUGGGGUUGUAAACUUCUUUACUACGCGAAUAGAGGUUUAGUACGAGAUACUAAUAGGAAAGGUUAGUGUAGUAAAAAGCACCGGCUAACUCCGUG